GGCGAACGCUGGCGGCGUGCUUAACACAUGCAAGUCGAACGCGGAUCCUCGUGCUUGCACGGGGUGAAGAGUGGCGAACGGGUGAGUAACACGUGAGUAACCUGCCCUUCACUCUGGGAUAACCUCGGGAAAUCGGGGCUAAUACCGGAUAUGAGAGUCCACCGCAUGGUGGGUUCUGGAAAGUUUUUCGGUGGAGGGGUGGACUCGCGGCCUAUCAGUUUGUUGGUGAGGUAACGGCUCACCAAGACGAUGACGGGUAGCCGGCCUGAGAGGGCGACCGGCCACACUGGGACUGAGACACGGCCCAG
rnacentral:rRNA from 1 species